rnacentral:rRNA from 1 species
UACAGAGGUCUCAAGCGUUGUUCGGAUUCAUUGGGCGUAAAGGGUGCGUAGGUGGCGUGGUAAGUCGGGUGUGAAAUUUCGGAGCUUAACUCCGAAACUGCAUUCGAUACUGCCGUGCUUGAGGACUGGAGAGGAGACUGGAAUUUACGGUGUAGCGGUGAAAUGCGUAGAUAUCGUAAGGAAGACCAGUGGCGAAGGCGGGUCUCUGGACAGUUCCUGACGCUGAGGCACGGAGGUCAGGGGAGCAAACGGG